UAAUAGCGUAUACUUAAGUUGUUGCAGUUAAAAAGCUCGUAGUCGGAUGUCGGGCUUGGGCAGGCUGUCGGCUUUUGUCGGACGGCAGGCUCGGGCCUUUCUGCCUGGGGACCGCGUCACACUUCACUGUGGGGCGUCGGGACGCAGGCCGUUUACUUUGAAAAAAUUAGAGUGUUCAAAGCAGGCCUAUGCUUGAAUACAUUAGCAUGGAAUAAUGGAAUAGGACUUUGGUGCCAUUCUGUUGGUUUAUGGAACCGAAGUAAUGAUUAAUAGGGACAGUUGGGGCCGUUUAUAUUUCGUUGUCAGAGGUGAAAUUCUUGGAUUUACGAAAGAGAAACUUCUGCGAAAGCAUUCGGCAAGGAUGUUUUCAUUGA
rnacentral:rRNA from 1 species